CCUACGGGAGGCAGCAGUGGGGAAUAUUGCACAAUGGGGGGAACCCUGAUGCAGCGACGCCGCGUGGGUGAAGGAGUAUUUCGGUAUGUAAAGCCCUAUCAGCAGGGAAGAACAAUGACGGUACCUGACUAAGCAGCACCGGCUAAAUACGUGCCAGCAGCCACGGUAAUACGUAUGGUGCAAGCGUUAUCCGGAUUUACUGGGUGUAAAGGGAGUGCAGGCGGCGCGUUAAGCCUGGUGUGAAAGUCCGCGGCCCAACCGCGGGACUGCAUUGGGAACUGGCGCGCUGGAGUGCCGGAGGGGUAGGCGGAAUUCCUAGUGUAGCGGUGAAAUGCGUAGAUAUUAGGAGGAACACCAGUGGCGAAGGCGGCCUACUGGACGGUGACUGACGCUGAGGCUCGAAAGCGUGGGGAGCAAACAGGAUUAGAUACCCUAGUAGUC
rnacentral:rRNA from 1 species